AGGCAGCAGGCGCGUAAAUUACCCAAUGUGGACUCCACGAGGUAGUGACGAGAAAUAUCAAUGCGGGGCGCUUCGCGUCUUGCUAUUGGAAUGAGAGCAAUGUAAAACCCUCAUCGAGGAUCAACUGGAGGGCAAGUCUGGUGCCAGCAGCCGCGGUAAUUCCAGCUCCAGAAGCGUAUGCUAAAGUUGUUGCAGUUAAAAAGCUCGUAGUUGAAUUUCUGGYGGGGGAGCCCAGGCCUGGGUGCGAAUGKGCCUUGUUUUUGCYUUGGGGCUCCUUUGCCAUCCUYGUUUAUKCWWRUAGACGUCYUUCACUGUAAUCAAAGCAGAGUGUUCCAAGCAGGCCGUAGGGCCGGUAUGUUUAUUAUGGGAUGAUCAGAUAGGACUCGGGUGCUAUUUUGUUGGUUUGCACAUCUGAGUAAUGAUUAAUAGGAACAGUCGGGGGUAUCCGUAUUUAGGAGCUAGAGGUGAAAUUCUUGGAUUUCCGAAAGACGAACUACAGCGAAGGCAUUUACCAAGCAUGUUUCAUAAUCAAGAUCGAA
rnacentral:rRNA from 1 species